rnacentral:rRNA from 1 species
UACGGAGGAUCCAAGCGUUAUCCGGAUUUAUUGGGCUUAAAGGGUGCGUAGGCGGCCUAUUAAGUCAGGGGUGAAAGACGGUAGCUUAACUAUCGCAGUGCCUUUGAUACUGAUGGGCUUGAAUGUGCUUGAGGUAGGCGGAAUGUGACAAGUAGCGGUGAAAUGCAUAGAUAUGUCACAGAACACCAAUUGCGAAGGCAGCUUACUAAAGUAUGAUUGACGCUGAGGCACGAAAGCGUGGGGAUCAAACAGG